GAUGUGAACGUUGCUAGCUGGACCAGGAUUUAUUCAUUCCAGAUUGCCCGUGAGCCAUCACCUUGAACCACUACAGUCCACCUGGUAGUGAUGAAAAGCAGAACAGAUGCAGCAGUGGAGGUGAAAACUCUGGAAUAAUUUCAGAUAUAUUUGGAUGCUAAAGGCCAGGGCAUUAGGAUUUUCAGAUGCAAGCACUGCAGCUGAUUAUUUGAAGGAGAAUGCUAAACUGGAAUAUUGGAUGCUUCUGAAGAUCUUCCGAAGUCCUGGCUCAAGACACCUUAAGUGAGCCAUAAGCACCAGCCGAAUGCAGGUUCUCUGGUUUUCAGGCAGUCACCAGCAUAUUU